rnacentral:rRNA from 1 species
CAGUCGCCGCGGGAAUACGUAGGGUCCGAGCGUUGUCCGGAAUUACUGGGCGUAAAGAGCUCGUAGGUGGUUUGUCGCGUUGUUCGUGAAAACUCACAGCUUAACUGUGGGCGUGCGGGCGAUACGGGCAGACUAGAGUACUGCAGGGGAGACUGGAAUUCCUGGUGUAGCGGUGGGAUGCGCAGAUAUCAGGAGGAACACCGGUGGCGAAGGCGGGUCUCUGGGCAGUAACUGACGCUGAGGAGCGAAAGCGUGGGGAGCGAACAGGAUUAGAUACCCGGGUAGUCCCUGUCUCUUAUAC